UACGUAGGUUGCGAGCGUUGUUCGGAUUUAUUGGGCGUAAAGGGUUCGUAGGGGGUCGGCCAAGUCUGACGUGAAAUCCCGGAGCUUAACUCCGGAACUGCGUUGGAAACUAGUCGGCUAGAGCGUCGGAGAGGGGAGUGGAAUUCCUGGUGUAGCGGUGGAAUGCGUAGAUAUCAGGAGGAACACCGAAAGCGAAGGCAGCUCCCUGGACGACCGCUGACCCUGAGGAACGAAAGCGUGGGGAG
rnacentral:rRNA from 1 species